rnacentral:rRNA from 1 species
GUGGGGAAUUUUGGACAAUGGGCGCAAGCCUGAUCCAGCAAUGCCGCGUGCAGGAAGAAGGCCUUCGGGUUGUAAACUGCUUUUGUACGGAACGAAACGGUCCGGGUUAAUACCCUGGGCUAAUGACGGUACAGUAAGAAUAAGCACCGGCUAACUACGUGCCAGCAGCCGCGGUAAUACGUAGGGUGCAAGCGUUAAUCGGAAUUACUGGGCGUAAAGCGUGCGCAGGCGGUUUUGUAAGACAGGCGUGAAAUCACCGGGCUCGACCUGGGAAUUGCGCUUGUGACUGCAAGGCUGGAGUGCGGCAGAGGGGGAUGGAAUUCCGCGUGUAGCAGUGAAAUGCGUAGAUAUGCGGAGGAACACCGAUGGCGAAGGCAAUCCCCUGGGCCUGCACUGACGCUCAUGCACGAAAGCGUGGGGAGCAAACAGGAUUAGAAACCCGUGUAGUCC